GUGGGGAAUCUUAGACAAUGGGGGAAACCCUGAUCUAGCCAUGCCGCGUGAGCGAUGAAGGCCUUAGGGUUGUAAAGCUCUUUCAGCUGGGAAGAUAAUGACGGUACCAGCAGAAGAAGCACCGGCUAACUCCGUGCCAGCAGCCGCGGUAAUACGGAGGGGGCUAGCGUUGUUCGGAAUUACUGGGCGUAAAGCGCGCGUAGGCGGACCAGAAAGUUGGAGGUGAAAUCCCAGGGCUCAACCUUGGAACUGCCUUCAAAACUCCUGGUCUGGAGUUCGAGAGAGGUGAGUGGAAUUCCGAGUGUAGAGGUGAAAUUCGUAGAUAUUCGGAGGAACACCAGUGGCGAAGGCGGCUCACUGGCUCGAUACUGACGCUGAGGUGCGAAAGCGUGGGGAGCAAACAGGAUUAGAAACCCCUGUAGUCC
rnacentral:rRNA from 1 species